CCAGUCUCACGUCUGAACGUGUCACUGUCACGUUAAUUAAUCUAUUGGGACGUGUUGUGUAACACGUUUCCUUGUUAAAAAACGUGUUGAGCAGGACGUAAUUAUCGUGUUACUAUCACGUUGUAUUUCGCAUUCAAUGAGCCAACAGAACCACGUCAUCUGUCAAAAAAGCCCGACCCAAAAUGGCGAGAAUGUUAUUUGAUGCUUUUGACGUGCAGUUUCAUACUCUUAAGCCUGCUUUGAGUUGUGGGUUAGAAGGAGCCACCUUCUAGCUAGCAGUUUUAAAAGGCUGAACCCCAGAAUCCAGAAACAAGAACCGAGCAGGGACGGAGAAAAAAGAAGAAUCCAAAUGGGAAAUGAGAUAAGGCCUCUUCAUUUUCAACUGUGAAGGAUCUACAUGGACUUGGUCUGGAUAGCCUUUCCUGUUUUGAUGAGCCAGUCGGGUCUAGAGGGAAAACCCUAUACAGUAUGAGCCCCAG